rnacentral:lncRNA from 1 species
AACAGUUUUUCUUGUCCAUUUUGUUGGUAAAUUACCUGCAAAUAAUAAACGAGAGAGGAUUUAUUGAAUCUGGGUUUGAUCUCAAAUCGAAAAUACACUUGGAUUCGUUCAUUUUUCGAUGGUUUUUUGACCUGAGAAUUACCUGCAGAUAAUAAACGAGAGAGGAUUUAUUGAAUCUGGGUUUGAUCUCAAAUCGAAAAUACACUUGGAUUCGUUCAUUUUUCGAUGGUUUUUUGACCUGAGAAGAGUUAUUUUUGGGUAUUUUUGCUCAUUUUUUGGUGAUAAAUAGAAGGAGAAAGUAAAACUUGGAAGAUAUGGCGUCGCAUUUUGAUAGGUGGGAGAAAGAUCCAUUCUUUUCAGCUGCAGAAGAGGUUCAAGAAUCUGCCGACAGGUAACCUGUUUUUGCUUUUUAAUUACAAUUUUCUUCUUAUUUGUUUGGUGGGUUUGGAUUGAUUUUGCUAGAAUUGUCAUUUGAGUUGGAUUUUUUUAGUUUUAUCUGUGAUUUUUU